GAGGCUCCUGCGAGGUCCUAGAGCGGGCUGGGUGCUCAAGCCCUCUCCCGGCGACGCCUGCCCUGACAACUUCUAAAGAGCCAGCCCGCCCCUGGGGAAAAGCGGAGGAAUCCUCUUUGGUCUCUUGCGCCUCAAAGAAAUGCCUAUGAUCAUCCAAGGAGAAUGCUGAGUGAGAAGGCCACCCACAGAAACCAGGGACACUGACACUCAAGGCACAGGCAGAAGAAAAGAUGCUUCAAAAGAAACCUGAGGAGGAGCUGCUCUAAAGGAAAGAGAAGCCAGAAGAGGUAGGCACCACGGAAAUCACUGAGAAGAACUCCAAAAAGCAAGGAGUAGUCAAAUGCCAGACCUGUCACAGGACAAGCAAGAUCCCUAAAAGCAAAACAGGAUUUUAGGACAGAAGUUCCACCCCAUCUUAGUCAGGAUUUGGAAGUCCGAAAUGAAAAAUCAGGAGGGAAAAUACCUAUGACUACAAAUUUAAACCACCACAGAAAGAGAAAUGGUAUGCUGGAUCACUUUUUCAGUCAUAGCCCAUAAGUACAGGUUGAAGGCAGGGAAAAAAAGUUGAUCUGGAGGCACUGCAACAAAAUGUAUCACUCAUAAUUUAUUAACAGAAAUUGUCAUUUCCACUCUCUACAUAUUUAAUCCUCCUGCCAUACGCAAGUCAAUGCUACUGUUUUCUCUUCUUCCUAUGGUAAAAAUUAGCGGGAUGCAUCAAAGCAAGCACUGGCUUCAUCUGCAGACUGGGUAUCUGUAAUAAACAUGGUUAAGAGUUCCCGGGGUAAUAAAGAUAAGAACAUUCUCCCUAACAUCAUCCUCAAAUACCUGAAUCUCUUUCAUUUUCCCUUAGCCUAUCUACCUGACAGUUACUAUAAAGAGCUUCCCUGAUCAAAGAUUUACUUGUUUUAAAAGAUACAUAUUAGGUCAGCUGGAGAAGAUUCAAUUUAUACAUUGUUUCAUAGUUAGGUACAGGUGUCUUCUGUUCUAAACACUGGGUGUGGUUUUAAAGGUAUAAAGAACAGAAAGAGGUUAUCAGUACAAUAAAAUGUACACAUUCUCCAAUUUGCUAUAAUUUCCCCUUAGCAGCUACCAGUUAUGUUAGAAAAACCUAAAAAUCCAUUUAUGAAGGUUAAUGUCCUGGAGUUCUUUGCAGAGCCCAGCAUGGUGUCUGAACUUCUAGGCCAGUCCCCCUUAUGUCAGACAUUAUUUUAGGUUUUAAUCUUUUGUUUUUUAUUCUACAUAAACAGGAUUCCACUAUGCGCAAUGACCUAAUACCCAAAAUGUGACGGCAUUUUAAAUCUAAGUAAUCUGGGCACAGAACUCAAGAACAGAAUCGUAUCUACAGGCACAAGGCCCAAAGGGCAGGAGGCACCCAGGUGAGCAGCUGAGCACAUUCACAACAGGCCUCCUGCUCCUCCUCCUGCCCAUCCAAAUAUCAGCAGUUUUGUUUAACUUGAUGUUAAACCACUUUAUUAUCCCUGGCUUAGAAAAACAGCUCAAAAGUGUAUUAUCAAGGGCUAGGGAGCACUGAACAGGGUAGGAGAGAGGUCAUAAAUUCAGGCUAUUUGCUACAGACAAUCCACAUUUGGUUAAUUAAGAACAGAGCAGACUGCCUCUACCCAAGCAAUUCAAAGGGAUGAACCACUGAUACAACAUCGUGAGCAAAAUACAGGUACCAAUGAGCACAUGCAAUAUGACUCCUAUUACAUAAAUUCUAGAACAGGCAAAACUGAUACCACCUAUAAUGACAGAAAGCAGAUCAGUUGGCUGCCUGACAUGGAGGUGAAGGGCACUGCCUAGGAGGGCACCCCAGGGACCUUUCUGAGGUGAAAAAAAGUCUCUAUCUUGAGAGAAGUGGUGGUUACAAAGGGUAUAUACAUUUGUCAGAACAUAUCAGAUUAAAGACAGAAAAUGCAUUCAUUUUACUAUACAUGAACUUUUCAGAGAAUAUAUUGUAGCACCCUGAUGACAUUAUCCUCUUUGCAAGCAAACAGCCAGGAUUACAAGUACUGGUGCCCCAGUGCUCACCUCCAAGGCUUCUACCUCCAGCCAAAGCCAUCUCCCUCAAUCUAAGUCAGUCCAUAGCACAUUUAUUCUUCUUGGUUACCUGGGGAUCAUCAUGGCCCUGCUCUGUCAUUAUAUCAAUGUGUUAUUUUGCAACAGAUAUUUAAACAAAAUUUAAAAAUUAAAUGAAAAUAUAUAGAGAAAACGGAAAUUCUAUCUCAUAUAUAUCAGUCCUGGAGUCCCUGUUUUCCUCCUUUAUCAGCCUCAAAGAAACCACUGCUAAUAAUUUCUCAUCUUGCCAGGGAUGAUCUAAGCCUACACAAAUGUGUAUAUGGGAUGCCUGGGUGGCUCAGUGGUUGAGCAUCUAUCUGCCUUUGGCUCAGGGUCGGAGUCCUGGGAUCGAAUACUGCACUAGGCUCCCUGUGGGGAGCCUGCU